rnacentral:rRNA from 1 species
GGUUGAUCCUGCCAGUAGUCAUAUGCUUGUCUAAAAGAUUAAGCCAUGCAAGUCUAAGUAUAAGCGAUUAUACAGCAAAACUGCAGAUAGCUCAUUAUAUCAGUUAUAGUUUAUUUGAUGGUACCCUACUACAUGGAUAACUGUAGUAAUUCUAGAGCUAAUACAUGCCCGGAAACUCUGACCCCUCGGGGAAAGAGCGGACUUAUUAGAUUUUAUGCCAUCCCAGUUUCGGCUGGAUCAGGUGAGUCAUAAUAAUUUCUAGACCGCAUAUACCUUAGCGGGUGGCGGUGGG